GAGAAGCGUGCUUCUAAACUGUCUUUGGACAACUUUUCUUGACUUUUGACCUCAAAUCAGGUAGGGCUACCCGCUGAACUUAA
rnacentral:rRNA from 2 species